rnacentral:rRNA from 1 species
GACGAACGCUGGCGGCGUGCUUAACACAUGCAAGUCGAACGGAAAGGCCCUGCUUUUGUGGGGUGCUCGAGUGGCGAACGGGUGAGUAACACGUGAGUAACCUGCCCUUGACUUUGGGAUAACUUCAGGAAACUGGGGCUAAUACCGGAUAGGAGCUCCUGCUGCAUGGUGGGGGUUGGAAAGUUUCGGCGGUUGGGGAUGGACUCGCGGCUUAUCAGCUUGUUGGUGGGGUAGUGGCUUACCAAGGCUUUGACGGGUAGCCGGCCUGAGAGGGUGACCGGCCACAUUGGGACUGAGAUACGGCCCAGACUCCUACGGGAGACAGCAGUGGGGAAUAUUGCACAAUGGGCGGAAGCCUGAUGCAGCAACGCCGCGUGCGGGAUGACGGCAUUCGGGUUGUAAACCGCUUUCGCCUGUGACGAAGCGUGAGUGACGGUAAUGGGUAAAGAAGCACCGGCUAACUACGUG